AUUGAACGCUGGCGGCAGGCCUAACACAUGCAAGUCGAGCGAGCGGCGGACGGGUGAGUAAUGUCUGGGAAACUGCCUGAUGGAGGGGGAUAACUACUGGAAACGGUAGCUAAUACCGCAUACCAUCAGAUUUGCCCAGAUGGGGUUGGCUAGUCGGUGGGGUAACGGCUCACCUAGGCGACGAACCCUAGCCGGUCUGAGCGGAUGACCAGCCAAACUGGAACUGAGACACGGUCCAGACUCCUACGGGAGGCAGCAGUGGGGAAUAUUGUGCAAUGGGCGAAAGCCUGAUGCAGCCAUGCCGCGUGUGGGAAGAAGGCCUUCGGGUUGUAAAGCACUGUCAGCGGGGAGGCGGUACCCGCAGAAGAAGCACCGGCUAACUACGUGCCAGCAGCCGCGGUAAUAC
rnacentral:rRNA from 1 species